GCGCUCCCGGGCCCCUACAAGGCCGCAACCACACCCUAGCCGGCGGCGCGUCUUCGCCCUCUCUUGGGCCCCGCAGCGGGGUCGAGGGCGCAGCGCCACGCGAGCUUCCGCAGAACAAAGACGGGUCCAGCCCUAGAGUGAGAACUGCCGCCGCCGCCUCCCCAGCUCCGGCCCGGCCGCCCUGACCCGGCUAAGCCCGAAACCCACCCGAGCGACUGGCGGCAGCCGGCUCCACGCCCGCUCCCAAACCAGCAGGGCCCCGGAAACGACUGAAACUGCAGUCCCCGGGGGUCAUCGAUAUUCAAACCUCCCUCCCGCACCAAACCCGUCACCUCAAGCCCUUCUGCAUUAUUAUUUAUAUUAUUUUUUUCCAGCCGCCAAGCUGUCAUUCUAAAGUUAGGAAGGGGGCCUCGCGGUGCCCACGUUCGAGGCAGGUGGGCAGGGGAGGGGGCACUGCAGGUCGGAGCUGUAAAUCCUGUCUCUUUGCGGUUGUUGUUCCCACUCACCACCCGCCGCCCCCCUCCACCCGGGUUGGUUUUUUUUUUUCUUUCUUUCCGCCUAGCAGUUGCUAUGGGUUACCAGGACGGUUGCCAUGGGUUACCGGACUGAGGCCGGCUGGCUCGCUACCUGCCACCCAGUCGCCGCAGCCGGCGGAGCGGCCCGGGUGGGAGGCAGCGGGAGCGCGCGUGUGCGGGCAGCGGCGCGGGGAGUGUGCGCGAGCCGGCCGGGCGCCGCAGCCAACAGGCGGCCUGGGUGCCGCAGCGGGAGCGCCGCCGCCGGUGGGGUGGGGGGCAGAGCUAUAAAGAAGGCCCGGAGUAUUUUGAAAGGAAAUCUUUGGAAUUUUGGAGAAAAGGGGUCAACUACCAGUUUGCACAGCUAAAAUAAAUUAGCGUCCAGUGCACUGUUCCUAACAAUGAUCUAGAAAAGUUUCCAUCAAGAGUGAAGAGCAAUUGUGUUUGACUUAAAGGAACAAUGGUGACUCGUUUGUGAGCUGCAUAUGGCAAGAAGAAAGCCAGAAUCCUUUGUAAAUAUUUGAAAUUUAAAGAAAUUGUUGCUUAUGUACAUCCUAAAAUUUUUGAAUUCCAUUCUACUAAAAUGUAUUAAUUUCAUAUGACCUUUAUGUGCAAAGGAAAAUUGUACCUAUGCUUUGAAUGUCUAAUUACAAUAACUAAUUUCAGACAGCUUUUUGUAUUUGAAAAUGUGUAUAUACAUAUGUUAUAUAUAUAAUAAAGGUCUAUAUUCCAAACAAAAGCAGAAAAUAGUAUUGAAAUAAAUUGUCCCUCUGUUGAAAAGAUGCUGCAUUGUAUUCACAAAGUGACUUAAAUUAUUAAGAAGAAAACUUACGUAGAAAUAGAAUAAGCUUUUGCUAUUUUUGUCUUAAAAUUUUAGAAGCCUUUCAUGGAAAAGGGUCUUCCUUUAUGGCUGAAAUAUUGAAAACCUUAUCUGUACCACAGCUGCUCAAUAAUGAUGAAUCCUCAAGGCACCAAAAAACGUUUUGAAUUCAAAACAGCAUCAAUUUAAUGUUGGGAUAUAAUGGUAAUUGUGGCUAAGAGAAAUGAAUUUGUUUAAAUUCUUAAGAGCCAUAAAAGAAUUUUUUUUAAUCUUACUAUAGUAAGGUUAUUGCAUAUCACUUGUUUGUAUUUAAUUAUUUAGUAAAAUGUGAACUAGAGUUAAAAAGCUCCUGCAAGAUAUUUAAUAUCUUAAGGUACAUAACUCAAGAGUAGCAUUUCUGUUUUUCCUUAGUAAUUUUUAAAACUUGAAAUUUUAACUCAAUUUCUUUAAUCACUAUCUUCCAAGUGAGACUUUAAAAGAAGCCCUAAGUAACAGGUUGUUGAUUUUCAUUGUUGAAACUUUCGGAUUAUACAUAAAAUCAGUUCUGAAACAGAACACAUAAAUUAGCUUAAUAGGUGAAUAGCAUACCCUUUCAGAAUUAGCCAGAGAAAUAUAGAUUUGCUGUAUAUAAAUCAUAAAGCAUCCAGGAUAAGAAUUCGUUAAAUUUGUUACAUCUUAAAUAGUUUUAAAUAAACAUCUAUUUUAUUUAGUUAUGUAAGUAAUUGUUUUCUUUCUCUAAAGAAAGUUUUAUAAAAAUAUGCCAGAGAAAAAUAAGAGACUUGAACAAAGCAAGAAAGCCUCUAGGGGCUGAAGUUCAUUUAAAUCUCUCAGCUGCUGGGAAAUCAGUUUUAAGAAGCCAGUACUUAGAUAUCAAAACAACCAAACCAAAGCUAUGCCUUAAAUGUAUACAACUACAGUGAAUAUGAAAUCAAAUUUUAACAAAAUUAUCCAUUAAAAAUUACUGAUGAUUCAGAAAUAUACUGAAUUUGGAUCUAAGUCAGAAGAAAUAUAUUGUAUAAAAUAAGCAAUCCAACAAACAAGUUGUUUUUUUGAUGUUUAAUGUGAAAAUGAUGAUCUCAUGAAGUUUACAUACCACAGUAUUACGCAUUACUUAAUAUCAA